rnacentral:rRNA from 12 species
CUCUAGUUUUCAGGAAAAAGCUAAACACAACGCAGAAGCACCGCACCGUACUAUAAACCGACACAGGUAGAAUCGUGUAUUUCACGUAGGCAAUGAGGAAACCAUGUUGAAGGAACUCGGCAAAUUAGCCUCGUAACUUCGGGAUAAGAGGAGACGUAUUGUAUUAUACGUUGUCACAAAAUUAGGGGUGGCGACUGUUUAUUAAAAACACAGGUCUCUGCUAAAUCAAUAGAUGACGUAUUGGGACUGACACCUGC